rnacentral:rRNA from 1 species
GACGAACGCUGGCGGCGUGCUUAACACAUGCAAGUCGAACGGAAAGGCCCUGAGUUUGUGGGGUUCUCGAUUGCCGAACGGGUGAGUAACACGUGUGUAACCUGCCCUUGUCUUUGGGAUAACUUCAGGAAACUGGGGCUAAUAUCGGAUAGGAGCUCCUGCACCAUGGUGGGGGUUGGAAAGUUUCGGCGGUUGGGGAUGGACUGGCGGCUUAUGAGCUUGUUUGUGGGGUAGUGGCAUACCAAGGCUGUGACGGGUAGCCGGCCUGAGAGGGUGACCGGCCACAAUAGUACUGAGGUACGGCCCAGACGCCAACGGUAGGCAGCAGUGGGGAAUAUUGCACAAUGAGCGGGAGUCUGAUGCAGCAACGCCGCGUUCGGAAUGCCGGCCUGCGGGUUAUGAACCGCUUUCGCCUGAGACGAAGCGGGAGUGACGGUAAUGAGUAAAGAAGCACCGGCUAACUACGUG